rnacentral:lncRNA from 1 species
AUGGUGGGAGUGUGGGGGGUGUUCACUCCCAUGGGGGUCACUCCCGCGGGCUCUCCACCCCAUCCUGCUGCGAAGUCCUGCCUCUGGGCUUGGGGAGGAUGGUUCCCGGCUGCCCCCUCCGCGGAGGGCUUCAACGACUCCCGGGCGCCGCCACCGCUUCCUCCUCGUCCUCGUCCGGCCCCCGAGGCCGCUCGAGCGGCCCGGCCAGGGAGCUGUCCGCAGGGGGCUCCGGAGGCGCCGGCCGCGCCGCCUGCAGUGGGGGAGCGUCGCGCGGCGCCUCGCGGCGGGACGACCCGGUGGUGUUGGGCCCCGCCGCCGCCGCCCCCGAAGUCCCAGACGGGCCGGUGGCGUUGGAGCCGCCGGGGGGCGGGCCAGCGGCUCCCCCGAGGUCCCGGCGCCCACCGGCUGCCAGAUGAGGCUGUAGUAGACGGCGAGCACGAUGGCGGCCAGCGACACGGAGAGCACGUAGGCGAACACGGUGGCGAGCCGGACCCACUUCUUGUUGGUCUUGGCCGCCAUCUUCGCCUUCUUGUCCCCGGUGUAGGUGGCCGGCUUGCCCCGCUCGGCCGGGGCCGCGUCGCGCUCCUUCAUGGGGGGCCCCGGCCUUUGCCCCGGUGCUCCACGGCCCCGGCUGGAGGGCCUGGCGGCCUGCAAGGACUGGGCAGGGGCGGCCCGGCGCCCUCGGUUCCCGGCGGCCCCGCGUUCCGCCGCCGCUCCUCACGCUGCCCGCCCGCAGCCCGCCACCGCGUCGCUGCAGCCGCCGCCGGGGCCUGGACCAGUCACCGCCGCCAGCGCCGCCGCCGCCGCCGGCCGGUCAGCUGCUUCCCGCCGCCGCCACAGCCACAGCCGCCACAGCCGCCCGGCUCCGCGUCCCCAUCCGCCGCCACGCCGCCGCGCGCUCCGCCGCCGCCAGCCCGGCCGCCGGCCGCCUGGUCUCCAGUGGCCGCGCGGACCGCGCUCCGCUCCAGCCCGGCUCCCCGCCUCGCGCGCCGGCAACAGGGGGCGGGGAGAGCGCUGCUGGGGCUGCCUCUUAAAACGGCGACGCCGGGGUCCGGAAGCGCCGCGAGGGAGGCGGCUGCUGCCGGGAGCCAAGAGCCCCGCCGGGACGCCCCGUUAAGAGAGAGUUAA